AACAUAAAAGCAAUACUGCCUGAGUUUUCUGCCUGCUGGGCUGCCCUUCAGAUUUUGGACUCAAGACUGCAACAUCAGCUGUGACCUGAAUUUUCAGCCUUCUUGCCUCCCUGCAAAUUUCAGACUUGCCAGGCCCCACAAUCAUGGUUGAUUCAUGACUCCCAAAAGAUAAUCAGUGUUAAAGGAUAAUUUCAAAAAGAACAAGCUCCAGUUCUUGUGAGUGAAUGGAAGGGGAACUAGGAGAACUUUUUAUAAUCCUUUAAAGAAGAACCCUUC